AUUGAACGCUGGCGGCAGGCCUAACACAUGCAAGUCGAGCGAGCGGCGGACGGGUGAGUAAUGUAUGGGGACUGCCCGAUAGAGGGGGAUAACUACUGGAAACGGUGGCUAAUACCGCCUACUAUCGGAUCACCCAUAUGGGAUUAGCUAGUCGGUAAGGUAAUGGCUUACCUAGGCUACGAUCCCUAGCUGGUCUGAGAGGAUGAUCCGCCAGACUGGAAUGGAGACACGGCCCAAACUCGUACGGAGGAAGCAGUGGGGAAUAUUGCACAAUGGGCGAAAGCCUGCUGCAGCCAUGCCGCGUGUAUGAAGAAGGCGCUAGGGUUGUAAAGUACUUUCAGUCGGGAGGCGUUGCCGACAGAAGAAGCAACGGCUAACUCAGUGCCAGCGGCCGCGGAAAUUA
rnacentral:rRNA from 1 species